GGGAAUUUUGGACAAUGGGCGCAAGCCUGAUCCAGCAAUGCCGCGUGCAGGAUGAAGGCCUUCGGGUUGUAAACUGCUUUUGUACGGAACGAAAAGGUGCUCUCUAAUACAGGGCGCUCAUGACGGUACCGUAAGAAUAAGCACCGGCUAACUACGUGCCAGCAGCCGCGGUAAUACGUAGGGUGCAAGCGUUAAUCGGAAUUACUGGGCGUAAAGCGUGCGCAGGCGGUUUUGUAAGACAGUGGUGAAAUCCCCGGGCUCAACCUGGGAACUGCCAUUGUGACUGCAAGGCUGGAGUGCGGCAGAGGGGGAUGGAAUUCCGCGUGUAGCAGUGAAAUGCGUAGAUAUGCGGAGGAACACCGAUGGCGAAGGCAAUCCCCUGGGCCUGCACUGACGCUCAUGCACGAAAGCGUGGGGAGCAAACAGGAUUAGAUACCCUGGUAGUCCACGCCCUAAACGAUGUCAACUGGUUGUUGGGGAUUUAUUUCUUCAGUAACGAAGCUAACGCGUGAAGUUGACCG
rnacentral:rRNA from 1 species